rnacentral:rRNA from 1 species
UGGGGAAUUUUCCGCAAUGGGGGCAACCCUGACGGAGCAACGCCGCGUGCGGGAGGAAGGCCUUUGGGUUGUAAACCGCUUUUCUCAGGGAAGAAGCUCUGACGGUACCUGAGGAAUCAGCCUCGGCUAACUCCGUGCCAGCAGCCGCGGUAAUACGGAGGGGGCAAGCGUUAUCCGGAAUCAUUGGGCGUAAAGCGUUCGCAGGCGGCGAUUCAAGUCUGCUGUCAAAGCCCGCAGCUCAACUGCGGACAGACAGUGGAAACUGAAUCGCUAGAGUGCGGCAGGGGUAGAGGGAAUUCCCGGUGUAGCGGUGAAAUGCGCAGAUAUCGGGAGGAACACCAGUAGCGAAGGCGGUUCUCUGGGCCGGUACUGACGCUGAGGAGCGAAAGCGUGGGGAGCAAACAGGAUUAGAUACCCGGGUAGUCC